GCAUCGAUGAAGAACGCAGCGAAACGCGAAAUGUGAUGUGAAUUGCAGAAUUUAGUGAAUCAUCGAAUCUUUGAACGCACAUUGCGCCUGCUUGCAGGCAUGCCCGUUCGAGCGUCGCUUCUAUUUAGUACAACUCUUUUGUUGCACUGUGUUGGACACGCCUAUGGCUGUCCGGAAAGCAGUGGCCGCAGUGCCGCCGAUAACGGUCGACAGGAGUCAGCCGCGGCGUCGCUGUGAGUCUCUCAACAGAACCUUAUGACCUCGAAUCGGGUAGGGAUACCCGCUGAACUUAAGCAUAUCAAUAAGCGGAGGA
rnacentral:rRNA from 1 species